rnacentral:rRNA from 1 species
GAUGAACGCUGGCGGCGUGCCUAAUACAUGCAAGUCGAGCGAACAGAUGAGGAGCUUGCUCCUCUGACGUUAGCGGCGGACGGGUGAGUAACACGUGGAUAACCUACCUAUAAGACUGGGAUAACUUCGGGAAACCGGAGCUAAUACCGGAUAAUAUAUUGAACCGCAUGGCUCAAUAGUGAAAGACGGUUUUGCUGUCACUUAUAGAUGGAUCCGCGCCGCAUUAGCUAGUUGGUAAGGUAACGGCUUACCAAGGCGACGAUGCGUAGCCGACCUGAGAGGGUGAUCGGCCACACUGGAACUGAGACACGGUCCAGACUCCUACGGGAGGCAGCAGUAGGGAAUCUUCCGCAAUGGGCGAAAGCCUGACGGAGCAACGCCGCGUGAGUGAUGAAGGUCUUCGGAUCGUAAAACUCUGUUAUUAGGGAAGAACAAAUGUGUAAGUAACUAUGCACGUCUUGACGGUACCUAAUCAGAAAGCCACGGCUAACUACGUG